AAGUUGGGCAAAACUCUGAUAGAGCAUUUUGAAUUUUUUUUCCUAGGUGCUUCUCAAAAUGGGAAGAGCUGCCAUUUAUGGCCUAUGAAAUGUUCUGAGAACAAAACAGAUACUAUUGGGAGAAGAAAGGAGGUACAGAUAUAAAAACUCGUGGAAUGAGGAGAUAGCUCAGUGGUAUCAUGGUCCAGCCUCAUAGAAAGCUACUUUAAGUUUAUGGGAUCUCCAUGUGGUGAGCUUGGAAGAUGUACAUAUCUUUUGAAUAUAUGGCAGUGUUGUCACAGAGAACUAUAAUUCAUCUCUUCCCAUGUUUAUGAACUGGUCCUUUAUUUGCAUCAUGACUUACUCUUGUGAUUUGAGAGUCAUUAUUAAGAUGUGAUGUAAGAAGAUUUCUCUGCUUGUGGGAGAGCCAUCAAUGGAGGCAUCGCCUCAGAAGCUGCCCUGAUGGGGGUUGCUGUUUUAGAGGGUUUUACUCCUUCCCACUUUCCUCAAGAUGUUGCCUUCCAAACACCCAUGCCUAUGGCAUUAGAUAUUUCAGCCACAUUCUAAAUAAAAGCAGGAGUUUUCCUGUGUCGCAUGGCACAGAGCUCUUUGUUCUUGGUCUUAUAUGGUGGGAUAGGUUUAAGAGCCAUGAAUAUUGAGGGGAAGGAGUUCUACACUUGAUGUAUGAGACACUUGUCAUU